ensembl:lncRNA
CACCAAGCAGUACCUACACUAGGGCGCUAUGUCACCAAAGAAAAACUGAAUGCAAGGUCAAAAAAAAAUGAGAAGUACAAGUGUAAAUAAUAUCAACUGAAUACACUACAAUGAUCAAAUAUACCCUAAUGCAUCAGAUGUAAAGAGCCCAAACCUGAACGAGUGAGUGACUGAGAUAAAGAGAUAGAAGAGUGAGUGAAUGAGAUAAAGAGAUAGAAGAGUGAGUGAAUGAGAUAAAGAGAUAGAAGAGUGAGUGACUGAGAUAAAGAGGUAGAAGAUGAAUGAGAUAAAGAGAUAGAAGAGUGAGUGAAUGAGAUAAAGAGAUAGAAGAGUGAGUGAAUG